rnacentral:rRNA from 1 species
GGGUUGUGAGGUUAAGCGACUAAGCGUACACGGUGGAUGCCCUGGCAGUCAGAGGCGAUGAAGGGCGUGCUAAUCUGCGAUAAGCGCCGGUAAGGUGAUAUGAACCGUUAUAACCGGCGAUACCCGAAUGGGGAAACCCAGUGUGAUUCGUCACACUAUCAUUAACUGAAUCCAUAGGUUAAUGAGGCGAACCGGGGGAACUGAAACAUCUAAGUACCCCGAGGAAAAGAAAUCAACCGAGAUUCCCCCAGUAGCGGCGAGCGAACGGGGAGGAGCCCAGAGCCUGAAUCAGCAUGUGUGUUAGUGGAAGCGUCUGGAAAGGCGCGCGAUACAGGGUGACAGCCCCGUACACAAAAGCGCAUGUGCUGUGAGCUCGAUGAGUAGGGCGGGACACGUGGUAUCCUGUCUGAAUAUGGGGGGACCAUCCUCCAAGGCUAAAUACUCCUGACUGACCGAUAGUGAACCAGUACCGUGAGGGAAAGGCGAAAAGAACCCCGGCGAGGGGAGUGAAAAAGAACCUGAAACCGUGUACGUACAAGCAGUGGGAGCACCCUUUGGGUGUGACUGCGUACCUUUUGUAUAAUGGGUCAGCGACUUAUAUUCUGUAGCAAGGUUAACCGAAUAGGGGAGCCGGAGGGAAACCGAGUCUUAAUUGGGCGUUAAGUUGCAGGGUAUAGACCCGAAACCCGGUGAUCUAGCCAUGGGC